GUGACCUAGAGAUGGGCAACUUGCCCAGGGCCGUGCAACUGCAUCCAGCUCCGUGCUAUUUACUCGCUGCCAUAGACUACACCAGACAGGAUUUCUUUGUGUAGCCCUGCCUGUCCUGGAUCUCACUAUGCAGACCAGGCUAUUCUGGAACUCAGACAUUCGCCUACUUCUGUCUCCUGAGAGCUGAAGUUAAAGGCAUGAACCCCCACACCUGGCUUAUCAUCUGUCUUCUCAACAAGAGACAGACUUCCCACAGAGAAGGGAUUCCAUUCCUGGGUUCACGAAGAGAUGCUGAGAUCUAUGUACCCUUGGAGUUGUACAAAAAGUUACAGGGAGCACAUUUCAGCAGAGAGGCUGAAGACUCUCGAGUGUCCCCCUAAAACCCUAGUCCGGGGCUGAGGUAGAAAGAUUGAGAGUUGGAGACUGGACUGGGUUACAUAACAAGAACCAAUCUAAAAGAAAGAAAAGAGUGUUUCCCCCAAUGCUAAAUACUGCUCAUGAAACUCCUCUUCCCUUUCAGCUAAAAAAGCCCAAGAACCUCCAAAGGCAGACAGCUUGGCUUGAGACAGGUUGGGAGCAGGUCUUAUCAAGAUGACACUAGCCAAACAGGGACGGCUGCCCUGACUCCAGCUGGGUUCCUAUGAUGCAGAUGUCUGAGGACACCACCAAGUUCCUGAAGCAGGCUGUACUUGCUUAGGGUAGCUUGCCAGCAAAGGCAGAAAACAGCCUUUGUGGCAAUCCCGAGGGAGGGCCUGAAGCAAAGGCGGCCACCGAGUCUGUAGGAGCCUCUCCCCCACUGACCACAGAUGUAUUACAAUGCACCUCCUUUCCCGGUGCCUGCUGAUAAUCCCUGACACUGUUUGGAGGAAUGCUUCACUUUCUCAACUGUCUGGCUCUGGGUUCACCGCCUUCUGCGCCUCCUUUGGGAUAAGAUUGUUGGUCACUUGCCCAGAUUAAAAAUCCUCCCUGUUCUUGCAGAUGGCCAAAGAUGCUUCUUCCUUUUCUUCACAAUGGAAAACUGCGCGUGUCAUCGAGGCGCCCGCUUUAUACACAUCUACCGAUGCCCACUUGUGAUGGAGGCAGCCCCCAGGCUGAUUACCCAAGACCUAGGUUUUACAGUGGCUCCCCACGGCAGUUGAAGGGCUUGUGUGGAACUUCUUCAGCUUCCCCCAGCUAAUUGCUCCGUACUCCAGGAAGUCUUUGCCAUCUCCGACUGAGUAAUGUUCCUUCUGUACGUUCCCAGGUUGCCUAAAAUAAACCGUAGCACAU
rnacentral:lncRNA from 1 species